rnacentral:rRNA from 1 species
UUAAGCGACUAAGCGUACACGGUGGAUGCCCUGGCAGUCAGAGGCGAUGAAGGACGUGCUAAUCUGCGAUAAGCGCCGGUAAGGUGAUAUGAACCGUUAUAACCGGCGAUUUCCGAAUGGGGAAACCCAGUGUGACUCGUCACACUAUCAUUAACUGAAUCCAUAGGUUAAUGAGGCGAACCGGGGGAACUGAAACAUCUAAGUACCCCGAGGAAAAGAAAUCAACCGAGAUUCCCCCAGUAGCGGCGAGCGAACGGGGAGGAGCCCAGAGCCUGAAUCAGCAUGUGUGUUAGUGGAAGCGUCUGGAAAGGCGCGCGAUACAGGGUGACAGCCCCGUACACAAAAGCGCAUGUGCUGUGAGCUCGAUGAGUAGGGCGGGACACGUGGUAUCCUGUCUGAAUAUGGGGGGACCAUCCUCCAAGGCUAAAUACUCCUGACUGACCGAUAGUGAACCAGUACCGUGAGGGAAAGGCGAAAAGAACCCCGGCGAGGGGAGUGAAAAAGAACCUGAAACCGUGUACGUACAAGCAGUGGGAGCACCCUUUGGGGUGUGACUGCGUACCUUUUGUAUAAUGGGUCAGCGACUUAUAUUCUGUAGCAAGGUUAACCGAAUAGGGGAGCCGGAGGGAAACCGAGUCUUAACCGGGCGUUAAGUUGCAGGGUAUAGACCCGAAACCCGGUGAUCUAGCCAUGGGCAGGUUGAAGGUUGGGUAACACUAACUGGAGGACCGAACCGACUAAUGUUGAAAAAUUAGCGGAUGACCUGUGGCUGGGGGUGAAAGGCCAAUCAAACCGGGAGAUAGCUGGUUCUCCCCGAAAGCUAUUUAGGUAGCGCCUCGUGAAUUCAUCUCCGGGGGUAGAGCACUGUUUCGGCUAGGGGGCCAUCCCGGCUUACCAACCCGAUGCAAACUGCGAAUACCGGAGAAUGUUAUCACGGGAGACACACGGCGGGUGCUAACGUCCGUCGUGAAGAGGGAAACAACCCAGACCGCCAGCUAAGGUCCCAAAGUCAUGGUUAAGUGGGAAACGAUGUGGGAAGGCCCAGACAGCCAGGAUGUUGGCUUAGAAGCAGCCAUCAUUUAAAGAAAGCGUAAUAGCUCACUGGUCGAGUCGGCCUGCGCGGAAGAUGUAACGGGGCUAAACCAUGCACCGAAGCUGCGGCAGCGAACGUAUCACCCAAGACAACUUUGCACAGUUGACGAUUGGCGGAGCGAAGCGACGUCAAAGCGUUUUACAACGUCGAGUUGGCUUAGGGAUACGUUCGUUGGGUAGGGGAGCGUUCUGUAAGCCUGUGAAGGUGGCCUGUGAGGGUUGCUGGAGGUAUCAGAAGUGCGAAUGCUGACAUAAGUAACGAUAAAGCGGGUGAAAAGCCCGCUCGCCGGAAGACCAAGGGUUCCUGUCCAACGUUAAUCGGGGCAGGGUGAGUCGACCCCUAAGGCGAGGCCGAAAGGCGUAGUCGAUGGGAAACGGGUUAAUAUUCCCGUACUUGGUGUUACUGCGAAGGGGGGACGGAGAAGGCUAUGUUGGCCGGGCGACGGUUGUCCCGGUUUAAGCGUGUAGGUGUGUGUUCCAGGUAAAUCCGGUUCACUUUAACACUGAGGCGUGACGACGAGGCACUACGGUGCUGAAGCAACAAAUGCCCUGCUUCCAGGAAAAGCCUCUAAGCAUCAGGUAACACGAAAUCGUACCCCAAACCGACACAGGUGGUCAGGUAGAGAAUACCAAGGCGCUUGAGAGAACUCGGGUGAAGGAACUAGGCAAAAUGGUGCCGUAACUUCGGGAGAAGGCACGCUGACAUGUAGGUGAAGUGAUUUACUCAUGGAGCUGAAGUCAGUCGAAGAUACCAGCUGGCUGCAACUGUUUAUUAAAAACACAGCACUGUGCAAACACGAAAGUGGACGUAUACGGUGUGACGCCUGCCCGGUGCCGGAAGGUUAAUUGAUGGGGUCAGCGCAAGCGAAGCUCCUGAUCGAAGCCCCGGUAAACGGCGGCCGUAACUAUAACGGUCCUAAGGUAGCGAAAUUCCUUGUCGGGUAAGUUCCGACCUGCACGAAUGGCGUAAUGAUGGCCAGGCUGUCUCCACCCGAGACUCAGUGAAAUUGAACUCGCUGUGAAGAUGCAGUGUACCCGCGGCAAGACGGAAAGACCCCGUGAACCUUUACUAUAGCUUGACACUGAACAUUGAGCCUUGAUGUGUAGGAUAGGUGGGAGGCUUUGAAGUGUGGACGCCAGUCUGCAUGGAGCCGACCUUGAAAUACCACCCUUUAAUGUUUGAUGUUCUAACGUGGACCCGUGAUCCGGGUUGCGGACAGUGUCUGGUGGGUAGUUUGACUGGGGCGGUCUCCUCCUAAAGAGUAACGGAGGAGCACGAAGGUUGGCUAAUCCUGGUCGGACAUCAGGAGGUUAGUGCAAUGGCAUAAGCCAGCUUGACUGCGAGCGUGACGGCGCGAGCAGGUGCGAAAGCAGGUCAUAGUGAUCCGGUGGUUCUGAAUGGAAGGGCCAUCGCUCAACGGAUAAAAGGUACUCCGGGGAUAACAGGCUGAUACCGCCCAAGAGUUCAUAUCGACGGCGGUGUUUGGCACCUCGAUGUCGGCUCAUCACAUCCUGGGGCUGAAGUAGGUCCCAAGGGUAUGGCUGUUCGCCAUUUAAAGUGGUACGCGAGCUGGGUUUAGAACGUCGUGAGACAGUUCGGUCCCUAUCUGCCGUGGGCGCUGGAGAACUGAGGGGGGCUGCUCCUAGUACGAGAGGACCGGAGUGGACGCAUCACUGGUGUUCGGGUUGUCAUGCCAAUGGCACUGCCCGGUAGCUAAAUGCGGAAGAGAUAAGUGCUGAAAGCAUCUAAGCACGAAACUUGCCCCGAGAUGAGUUCUCCCUGAGACUUUAGGUCUCCUGAAGGAACGUUGAAGACGACGACGUUGAUAGGCCGGGUGUGUAAGCGCAGCGAUGCGUUGAGCUAACCGGUACUAAUGAACCGUGAGGCUUAACCUU